rnacentral:rRNA from 1 species
UACGUAGGGGGCAAGCGUUGUCCGGAAUUAUUGGGCGUAAAGCGCGCGCAGGCGGUCAUUUAAGUUUGGUGUUUAAUCCCGGGGCUCAACCCCGGGUCGCACUGAAAACUGGGUGACUUGAGUACAGAAGAGGAGAGUGGAAUUCCACGUGUAGCGGUGAAAUGCGUAGAUAUGUGGAGGAACACCAGUGGCGAAGGCGACUCUCUGGGCUGUAACUGACGCGAGGCGCGAAAGCGUGGGGAGCAAACAGG